UGUUAAGGGUAUGCUAUGGAAUCCUCAGGCAGACCUACAGAUAUAGGUGAGAUAACAGGUGGAGUCAUGUUUCACAUUUGUGACCAACUUGGGGGCAUUCAGAGACUUCUGAGUGUACUGGUAUUUGUGUUUAACAUUCCCAGCAGUCACCAUAGUCAGUGGAGAAUUUGCCAGUCACAGUCUAGUUGCUUUCUUAAAAAACCAGGGAUAUCCCAGAACAAGAGACCAGCAGUCUUCUUAUUAAGGUUUCUGCUAGACACCUCACUCAGUAUUGUAGAAAGACUACCCAGAGACAACACAAGUGUGACACACAAACACAAACACACACCACACUUGCUCACCCAGGCCAGGGCAUGCUUUUCUUUAAAUUUGUAUUAUCCAAGUUUCAUUGUCAAUUAAUGAAGCAUAAUUUCUCCCUAAAAAUUCAGAGAGCCUCUUUACAAUCCAGACAUUAAACCAAGACAUUUGACCACAGUUGCUUGCCUUUAGCAAGUUGACAAACUAGUUCAGACAUGUUUAUUACUUGUAGUGAAUAUCUGAAUAUGCCAGUGUGAAUUUGCAUUCUUUAUUUGCAGGAGACAGAGUACAUGGUUGUAAUUUUAUGGCCAUAUUUUUUCUUUGUAAAAAUUGGCUAUAGAUCUGAAUACCAAACACAUACUCGGAUUUUACUUUAGUAUAAAGGAAAGCUUAGGAAUUACUAGACUACCUAGGUAGAAUUUGUCAAGGAUAUUUAAAGGUAAGCUGUAACAAGUCGGGAAAGUCAAAGUUGGGUGAAAACUUCAGAUUAAAUGAACAGAGUAUAGAACAAAGGUUGUUUGACCACAGUUUAUAUAUUUAAAUUGCAGGACAGCUAAGAUUCUGUUGUAGGAGAAAGAAGUAAAUUGAAGUUGUGCUUUCUGUUCUUUUAAGGCAGGGUUUCUAGCCCAGACUGCGCUCUAACUUUGAUGUAACUGAGGAUGACCUGGCUGUCGGGUCUUCCACCUCUUGAGUACUAGGAGCCUAAGCAUGUAUCACCAACCCCAGUCCUGUGGAGCUUGGGGACUGAGCUCAGGGCUUCAUGCCUGGAAGGAAGGCACUCUUAUCUAUUGGCCGACCUGCAUCCUCUUAAGGAAUGAAAACUUGGGCUGGGGAGGUGGCUAAGUGCUAACUUGUGUGUCAUGCAAGCAUGAGGGACCCGAUUCAAAUUCUUAGGACCUAUAUAAAAACCUGGUACAUGGUAGAACAGGCCUGAAAUUCCAUCACUCCUAUACAGGAGAGGAAUGAGAGACUUGUCCCAGGAAGCUUUGCAGGCCAAUUUAUAUAGUAGGCAGAAUGGCAGCCAGUGAGGCCCUUGUUACAAACAAGGUCGGGGCACGGCCUGACACCUGUUGUUCAGUGUUCCUCUCACUUCAGCACUGAAGGUUGCUGGGAGGUUUUGUUUUGUUUAAAUUGCCAAAUGACUUGUUCAAACAUGAUCAAAAUUACUAAUCAAUUGAGCUGUAACUAUUAAAGGUUGGGAAGUAAUGUCCUGAAUAAGUUAUAUAUUUUGAAGUAUUCUCUGAACACUGCACUAAAUAAUAAAACACCUCACAACUGAAGCUUCAUUUAGAGUGAACAUGUAGUACUAGAGGUUUCUAGUUGAAUCGACCAUGACUUAUCCAGGGACUCUGAAAGGCAGGCUGCAGUGAGCAUGUGUAGCUUCAGUAUUGACUUG
rnacentral:lncRNA from 1 species